GCCAGUGAGCAUGCCUGGACAGCAUGUGGGUUGGGGUGUGAGUGCUCAGGGUCAGCCCCAUAGAGCCUGGAACAAAUGCCCCAAUCUUUCUGGAGCGUUUCCUGAUGGGGUUUGUGAGGAAUGUCUGCUGGGAGACAUUAUCGUGGCCAAUGUCCAGCCGACCAGAUAUGGGGUGAUCAAUUGUUUGAAGGUGAAAGGUAAGAGCCAUGAAGCCGACUUAUAAGAACAUCUGUGUUUACUGGGACAUUGGAGCCUCAGCUCAUGGAUAUAUAUGGUGACUUGGGCAGCAUUGGCCUUAUAGGGCUGAAAGGCAACGCCCUGGGGCAGUAUCCUUAAUGCAGCAAUUGACUAGACACAGUGAGACCAGGUCACACUGUUCCUGGGAGGGGAGUGGCAUGAUCGUGGCUCACUGCAGCCUCAACCUCCUCCCCAGGCUCAGGUGAUUCUCCCACCUUAGCCUCCCUAGGACCACCACGCCCAGCUAAUUUUCGUAUUUUUUUUUUUUUUUUUGAGACGGAGUCUCGCUCUUUUGCCCAGACUGGAGUGCAGUGGCGCCAUGUCCUGCUCACUGCAAGCUCCGCCUCCUGGGUUCACGCCAUUCUCCUGCCUCAGCCUCCCGAGUAGCUGGGACUACAGGCGCCCGCCACCACGCCCGGCUAAUUUUUUUGUAUUUUUAGUGGAGAUGGGGUUUCACCA
rnacentral:lncRNA from 10 species